CAGCCGCCGCGGUAAUACGUAGGUGGCAAGCGUUGUCCGGAAUUAUUGGGCGUAAAGAGCAUGUAGGCGGGCUUUUAAGUCCGACGUGAAAAUGCGGGGCUUAACCCCGUAUGGCGUUGGAUACUGGAAGUCUUGAGUGCAGGAGAGGAAAGGGGAAUUCCCAGUGUAGCGGUGAAAUGCGUAGAUAUUGGGAGGAACACCAGUGGCGAAGGCGCCUUUCUGGACUGUGUCUGACGCUGAGAUGCGAAAGCCAGGGUAGCAAACGGGAUUAGAUACCCCGGUAGUCCUGGCCGUAAACGAUGGGUACUAGGUGUAGGAGGUAUCGACCCCUUCUGUGCCGGAGUUAACGCAAUAAGUACCCCGCCUGGGGACUACGAUCGCAAGAUUGAAACUCAAAGGAAUUGACGGGGGCCCGCACAAGCGGUGGAGUAUGUGGUUUAAUUCGACGCAACGCGAAGAACCUUACCAAGGCUUGACAUUGAGUGAAAGACCUAGAGAUAGGUCCCUCUCUUCGGAGACACGAAAACAGGAGGUGCAUGGCC
rnacentral:rRNA from 1 species